rnacentral:rRNA from 1 species
GACGAACGCUGGCGGCGUACUUAACACAUGCAAGUCGAACGGAAAGGCCCUGCUUUUGUGGGGUGCUCGAGUGGCGAACGGGUGAGUAACACGUGAGUAACCUGCCCUUGACUUUGGGAUAACUUCAGGAAACUGGGGCUAAUACCGGAUAGGAGCUCCUGCUGCAUGGUGGGGGUUGGAAAGUUUCGGCGGUUGGGGAUGGACUCGCGGCUUAUCAGCUUGUUGGUGGGGUAGUGGCUUACCAAGGCUUUGACGGGUAGCCGGCCUGAGAGGGUGACCGGCCACAUUGGGACUGAGAUACGGCCCAGACUCCUACGGGAGGCAGCAGUGGGGAAUAUUGCACAAUGGGCGGAAGCCUGAUGCAGCAACGCCGCGUGCGGGAUGACGGCCCUCGGGUUGUAAACCGCUUUCGCCUGUGACGAAGCGUGAGUGACGGUAAUGGGUAAAGAAGCACCGGCUAACUACGUG